rnacentral:lncRNA from 1 species
GUCCUGGGAGUCUUCUAGAGCUGCAUUUGGGCAGGUUCUCCCGGGCUUCGCUUCACUAUCAACUCCCUGUUUUUCUUGUGCAGAAACCACUGAGUAAAGAACGCGCUCAGAGACUUUCGGGGUCUUGACCUCGCUGCAUGAGUCGAGCCUGGGCAUCCUACCUAACUCUCGAGUUCACCCCAGCCACUGGCCAGAGCACACAUCCUUCAGAAAGAAACCUUCUUGGAGCCACUUCAACACCAAAAGAAACUCCUCGUCUGUGGUGGGACGCGUGGCCCCUGUCCCACCGCGGCAUGCCACGGAGCAAACCUGGCUGGCCUGGGAGAGGAGGGGGUCUUCCUACCUAGGAUCUGCCUUUGUUUUCACAGGUGACGCCACUCUCCGGCCAGGCAGGUGCAAGGGAAGCUGGUCACCAUCCUGCUAUUGGCUGCUGAGAAUUCCCAGGUUCCUGGACACAGAGCGGGUGGUUCUUAGUCACCCCAGGGUGCCGGGACCUGAGAAGCAACAUGAAGACGAUGAAAGUGCGUCUGCCUCCGGUGCCCCUGCUCUGUGUCCCGAGCCUCCUGCAGAAGAGUCUGCCUGUUCUGGACUCGUCCUCUUUCCCUCGCCUUUCUUACUCUUGACCACAAGCCUACUAGGAGAGCGUCCCCCGUGCACAGAACAGCCUGGCUGCCUGACUCCAUGUGGUUUUCUUGUUUAUUUCCAGUUGAGUCCUUACCGUUUCCUUUUUUGUAUUGUGGGACUGAUUUCUUGACAUAUUGUUAAAAGUCUCCCAGAUCAGGUCAGAUUCCAAAACGUGCUGUAGCAAGAGGACCCCGCUGUGCUCAGGUGGGGGCUCUUUUCACUCCUCCUCCAGCUUCUCAGCACUAGGGCAGGGGCCCCGGGGUGACUCCCUCUCCACCUGGCGGGGGUUGCUGCUGCUGAGGGCUGCACUGCUCCUGACCAUGUGAACAGUCACCGGUAGUGGACCCUCAAGAGGCGCUAUGAUCUCCCUGGGUGCUCCUCUGAUUUAUUAUUUUUUCAUUAAAAAUAAUACCUGGAUAGAAACUUUAGACCACACAGAGAUGUAGAAAGAACACCAACACCUAAAGGUCAUCACCGUUCAUGUUUGUGGGAGUUUCUCCAAGUCUAGUUUCUUUCUAAGCACAUUUUAUUUCCCUUUCAAAAUGUUAAAUAAUGUCAUUAUAUUGCAUAUAUGGUUUUGUAUAAGCUUUUCCACAUAAUAUUUCAUCAAAGAUGUUUUCUUUAUAUUCAUGGUAUUCUUCAAUGUUGUAUCAGUAAUUCCAUGAUAUUCCACCUCUAGUGAUGCCUCUACUGUUGGUCAUUGAAGGCUGUUUCCAGUUGGCCAUUGGGAUGAACAUUUUUGUGCAUGAAUCUUUUUCUGCAUUGGGCCAAUUCCUCAAGGCUUAGAUUUCAAGGAAUAUCUUUAGUGAUUAUCAAACCACUUCCAAGGCUUUCUCAUAAAUGUAUAGCAAAUAGGAAUUGUUAACUUGAGUAUAUGAUAUGAGACACAUGAAGCUACAACUAUUAAAAUAUUAUAUUUAAUCCUUAGUUUAGGAAGAAGCUCCUAUGCCUAUUUAAACAUUAUGGGUGGUGAAGGCAUUGGUAUAGAGUUGAGAAUUCUCUUACUGAGCACACGUAGUCCUCUCUUUUUCUGAAAGUGGUGGUAUCUGAGCUCCAAAGAGAAGCACUGGAGGUGUAUCAGGCAACUUAAAUGCCAUAACUGGUUUUUCAGCUUUGAAUAGACUAUAAAUGCCAUGGCUGAAGAAGGGAAUCCUGGAAGGCAGCUAUUCAAUGAACAGCUAAUUAGAGAAACCACAAAGCAUUGACCAAAAAAAGUUGAGUUUCAUUUUGUAUGGGCAAUAUUUAAAAUGACUAUUCACCACCUUUAUAAGGUUUUCAGGGAAUGAAUUCAAAUAGAAGGUGACUUUUUACGCAACCCCAGUAAUGGCCUGAAAGGGAAUAGUGUCUAUCAGUUCAUGGCUUCGGUGAGGGAAGUGGAUGGGACAAAAUUUACAUGACAAAAAUGGUCAAUGAAAAGAAAGUUCAAAAUUUCUCCCUUAGAGAGAGAAUGUCACUUGCAUGUCACCAUGGCAACUUGAAUACCUGCUGUUCUGAAACUCCCAGGAAGGUCAUUCCUCUCCAUGCUGGUUGGAAAAAGGAACGCAUUUGGCAAACACAAGACUGUGCAGGCCAAAGAGCGGCUCGGGGAGCCAGUCCCUCAAUUCAGGUGGGGAAUUUGAAUGAAAUCAGUAAAUCAAGUCAGAACUCCCAGAGGUGAAGGUCAGUGUCAUCUAUUUGCUGGUCACCCCCUAGAGGACUUAUUCAUACGGUUUCUAGUGCGUCUCGUCUGCUGGACGUUUCUGCACAGCUGCUCGACGUGAUUUUUGCUUAUGCGAAAUCGUUUCUAGUGUAACUCAUGAAAACAGCACACGUAUGGAAAUUCCUUCCUCAUUCAAAGGUGCUACAUCCUCGUGUAUGAUCAGUGUGUUCUGUGGUCUUAGGCACAACUGGAGAACUCUGUGGCUUGAUCCAAAUGACUGUUAAUAAUUAAAUAACAGAGGAAUUGUCUGUCCAGUGUUCCUUUUGCUAUUCUACUGAGAGUGGAAAAAAUAAAAUUCUUAUCAUUGAGUCUGAAUCAUUUUUGAAGGGAUUUGGUUCUCCAGAGUUACGUGAGCUGCCAUUUCUGAGCGGGUGACUGGAACGUUCUGGUUGCACGCCAGUGGAAGGAAGCCCCCUGUGGUUCCGGUUCUUGUCAGCAGAGGCACUCUUUGGAUCUUUGGUGGGUUUAUGUUUAGGGACACAUCUGUAACCUGAGUCUCCAGCUUCACUCACCUAGAGCCACCCUGAUGUGACAGCAGUUAUUUCUGAGGUUGCAGGGGUCUCACAGGUGCCCAGGCUCUGUCUUGGGGCCAACAUGGAAGUCCAUUAUCUAC